AGAGUUUGAUCCUGGCUCAGAUUGAACGCUAGCGGCAGGCCUAACACAUGCAAGUCGAGCGAGAAAGUCUUCGGAUGAGUACAGCGGCGGACGGGUGAGAAACGCGUAGGAAUCUACCUAGUAGUGGGGGACAACUCGGGGAAACUCGAGCUAAUACCGCAUACGCCCUAAGGGGGAAAGUGGGGGACCGUAAGGCCUCACGCUAUUAGAUGAGCCUGCGUAGGAUUAGCUAGUUGGUAGGGUAAAGGCCUACCAAGGCGACGAUCCUUAGCUGGUCUGAGAGGAUGAUCAGCCACACUGGAACUGAGACACGGUCCAGACUCCUACGGGAGGCAGCAGUGGGGAAUCUUGCACAAUGGGCGAAAGCCUGAUGCAGCCAUGCCGCGUGUGUGAAGAAGGCCUUCGGGUUGUAAAGCACUUUAAGUGGGGAGAAAAGGGUAGUCGUUAAUAGCGGCUAUCUAUGAUGUUACCCACAGAAUAAGCACCGGCAAACUUCGUGCCAGCAGCCGCGGUAAUACGAAGGGUGCGAGCGUUAAUCGGAAUUACUGGGCGUAAAGAGCACGUAGGCGGUUUGAUAAGCGGAAUGUGAAAUCCCCGGGCUUAACCUGGGAACUGCAUUCCGAACUGUCAGGCUAGAGUGUGAUAGAGGUGAGCGGAAUUUCCUGUGUAGCGGUGAAAUGCGUAGAUAUAGGAAGGAACAUCAGUUGCGAAGGCGGCUCACUGGAUCAAUACUGACGCUGAGGUGCGAAAGCGUGGGUAGCGAACAGGAUUAGAUACCCUGGUAGUCCACGCCGUAAACGAUGUCUACUAGCCGUUAGGGUACUUGAUACCCUAGUGGCGUAGCUAACGCGAUAAGUAGACCGCCUGGGGAGUACGGCCGCAAGGUUAAAACUCAAAUGAAUUGACGG
rnacentral:rRNA from 1 species